UAACCUUCCUGAAGAUAGAGACUCCGUGUUCUUUCCUAUACAUCCCUGGGUACUAACCACAUCCUUCUGUACAUGAACUGACUGGAAACUCAGCCUGAGGAGCAAGAAGGCCAACAGGAGGAUUCAGGUUCUCACACUAAGGAGACAAUAUGAUGUGUGCAUAUGCGGGUCUGAUUUAUUUCACUUAAGAGUAUGUUCUCCAGUUGCAUUUUAAACUAUGGCCGGAUCUUCUACACUGACCUCCAACUCACCGAUGGAACUCACAGCUUGAAAAACAGUGUAGUAAAUUAAACCUUACUGUUGCAUUCCACAAGUUCCUAAUGAACUCUGAAAAGCCAGUCGAUCACAGAAUCGGUGACAGAGACGUUGGGCAGCAUCCUUCUGUCCAGUCUCUGCGGCCCUGGUUCAAGCUCCUCCCAUACAUCUCUCGAGAAACCCAAGGAACCCGAAAUUAAACAAACUGGCGCGCUCCUCGUGCCUCAGUGACAAGAUUCGAGCCUACCUGUCCCACCUCCAUCUUUCUA